rnacentral:rRNA from 1 species
GUAGGCGGUUUAAUAAGUGAAUAGUGAAACCUGGUGGCUCAACCAUACAGACUAUUAUUCAAACUGUUAAACUCGAGAAUGGUAGAGGUAACUGGAAUUUCUAGUGUAGGAGUGAAAUCCGUAGAUAUUAGAAGGAACACCGAUGGCGUAGGCAGGCUACUGGGCCAUUUCUGACGCUAAGGCACGAAAGCGUGGGGAGCGAACCGGAUUAGAUACCCGGGUAGUCCACGCCGUAAACGAUGGAUACUAGCUGUUGGAGGUAUCGACCCCUUCAGUAGCGAAGCUAACGCGUUAAGUAUCCCGCCUGUGGAGUACGGCCGCAAGGCUAAAACAUAAAGGAAUUGACGGGGACCCGCACAAGCGGUGGAUUAUGUUCUUUAAUUCGAUGAUAACCGAAGAACCUUACCAGGGCUUGACAUCCAGGGAAGGUCUGCGAAAGUAGACUGUGCCUUUUGGAACCCUGUGACAGGUGAUGCAUGGCCGUCGUCAGCUCGUGUCGUGAGAUGUUAGGUUAAGUCCUUCAACGAGCGCAACCCUUGUGAAUAGUUGUAUUUUUCUAUUCAGACUGCCCCGGUAACGGGGAGGAAGGANGGGGAUGAUGUCAGGUCAGUAUUUCCCUUACGUCCUGGGCUANNAAACGUAAUACAAUGGCUAGUA